rnacentral:tRNA from 1 species
GGCGACGUAGCUCAGUGGUAGAGCAGGGGAAUCAUAAUCCCUUGGUCGGGUGUUCAAAUCACCCCGUCGCUACCA